AGUUUGAUCAUGGCUCAGGAUGAACGCUAGCGGCAGGCUUAACACAUGCAAGUCGAGGGGUAGAGGAAGCUUGCUUCCUUGAGACCGGCGCACGGGUGCGUAGCGCGUAUGCAAUCUACCUUAUACAGGGGGAUAGCCCAGAGAAAUUUGGAUUAAUACCCCAUAGUAUAAUUGAAUGGCAUCAUUUAAUUAUUAAAGUUCCAACGGUAUAAGAUGAGCAUGCGUCCCAUUAGCUAGUUGGUGUGGUAACGGCACACCAAGGCGACGAUGGGUAGGGGUCCUGAGAGGGAGAUCCCCCACACUGGUACUGAGGCACGGACCAGACUCCUACGGGAGGCAGCAGUGAGGAAUAUUGGUCAAUGGGCGCAAGCCUGAACCAGCCAUGCCGCGUGCAGGAUGACGGUCCUAUGGAUUGUAAACUGCUUUUGUACAGGAAGAAACACUCCCUCGUGAGGGAGCUUGACGGUACUGUAAGAAUAAGGAUCGGCUAACUCCGUG
rnacentral:rRNA from 1 species